rnacentral:rRNA from 1 species
GAUGAACGCUGGCGGCGUGCUUAACACAUGCAAGUCGAACGAAGCAUUUGCGACAGAUUUUUUCGGAAUGAAGUUGCUUAUGACUGAGUGGCGGACGGGUGAGUAACGCGUGGGUAACCUGCCUUGUACUGGGGGAUAGCAGCUGGAAACGGCUGGUAAUACCGCAUAAGCGCACAAUGUUGCAUGACAUGGUGUGAAAAACUCCGGUGGUAUAAGAUGGACCCGCGUCUGAUUAGCUAGUUGGUGAGAUGACAGCCCACCAAGGCGACGAUCAGUAGCCGACCUGAGAGGGUGACCGGCCACAUUGGGACUGAGACACGGCCCAGACUCCUACGGGAGGCAGCAGUGGGGAAUAUUGCACAAUGGAGGAAACUCUGAUGCAGCGACGCCGCGUGAGUGAAGAAGUAAUUCGUUAUGUAAAGCUCUAUCAGCAGGGAAGAUAGUGACGGUACCUGACUAAGAAGCUCCGGCUAAAUACGUG